ACAUGUUGAAAUGCCAUAAUAAGUCAUUCACGAAACACAAAAAUCGCAUGUAAGAAGAAAGCAAGCAAGCAGCAAAGCAUAAAGGGGGAAUGACGUAGUACUAGAUACAAAAGGGACGCAGAGUAUGUGAACUCGAGCACACUGGCGCUCGUUAUCUGUCCCGUUGGUCACGUCUUUGUGAUUCGUUGAAUUGAAGCAUGUGACAGGGCCAGGGUCCACCAAGAAUUAGAAAACUCAGAUAUACACAAUGAACGUUGAGACGCCGUGGAGAGAAUGGGACAGGGCCGUGGCUCGAGUGGGCUCGAGACGUAAUUCCCUUCCUGAUCCGUGGAUCAGAUUUGGUGCUUUCCGGUAACGGCGGCAGUGACUGAAGUAAAUGCAGCCAUGGGUCGCUGGAGCACCUGUCUCCUAACUGCCCGAGCAUGGAUCUUCUUUUGGUGAGAGCGGCGACCGGUGGAGCCACCGUCUGUGACAAGGCGACUGCCCACUCCGGCGUACAUGGAGUUCUUGAUGCAGCAGAUUAACAGAACUCCGCUAGAGGAGGUGAACGACAGCGACAUACCUAUCACCUAUGGAGCCCCUGCACUAGGGGCGAGCUGCCGGCCACGACGGCGUCAACUGUGGACGCCCAGAUCUGUGCUGCGGUCGCGGCUGCAGAGCCAGCGACGGGAGACAAGGCACAGACAUCUGAGCAACCCAUACAUCAGAUUGACCCCAAAAGUCCUGGGUGGAUGCGAAGGUAUGCAGAAUUGCAGAUUGACAGAAGAUAUGAUUUGUUGGUAAUUAUAUCUCGCAAAUUUGAGUAGUAAAGAAUUGCUGGCUUUGGGAUUCAGCAAGUGUGGGCAGAAAACAUCUGUAAAAAUGAGUCAUUUACCAUGGCUGCUGCAGGAAAUAAGAUUUGUUGGUAAUUAAACGUUGCAAAUUCCAGUAGUAAAGAGUAGCUCGUUCUGCGAUUCAGCAAGUGUGGGCAGAAAACUUUUGUAAAAAUGAGUCAUUUGCCAUGGUUGGCUAUAUUUUCCAUGCAACUGUAUGUCUAAAUUAAGCUUGGGAGCUUGGAGCAAAAUAUUUGAAUUUGUGUUAUUGUCUGUUGGUCAGCCUGGCAUCGACACAAGCUGUAUGUCUAAAUUAAGCUUUCGAGGUAGUACUAGUACCGGAAGUCCGGAACUGACACAAGCAUACGGUGUACUAGUACCGGAAUCGACAUAACCAACAGAAUUGACGCUUUUGUUUUGCAGGAAUUUCUUUGUGCACGAGAAUCUAAGGUUCGUAUGGAUAACAGGGGUGGCGUUGAAGGAGCAGCUUGGUGGCGACGCGCCAAUCGACCACGAGCUGAUGUUAGUUAUUCUUCGUCGGUAUUGUCAGGCUGGCCAGGAAGCAGACGGAAGGAUCGCCAUACCUAACCUGGAGGCACCCACUUGAACCUGAAUUCUUGGUGAGUGAAGUUCUGCUGGCGACAUACUGACAAAUAGCUAACAUUUUUGAAUCAGCUGCUGACAUAUUGAUGCAUUAUCCACCAGACACUUGUGUUACCUGAUUGCGACUAUGUGCACACUUUAUGCGUUUCAGAACCAAUUAGCAGCUCAUGCACUGAAGUAUGACAUCACAUCAACACAACUGCUAUGGGAAAUACAAGCUUCUUGCACGUCGUAUCGGCUUUCCCCUUUACAUUAUUCUGAUGCGGGUCACAUUUAUGUGGUUAUUGUUUUUGUUCUUCACUCCUAACCUGUAUAUAACCUGAAGGUUGGAUGGUCAUAUUUCGGGACAUUGUUACAUGAUCGAUGACAGACAUUGAUCCGAUGUACACAGAGAAAUGUCCAGGCCUACCUACUCAGCAAUGAGACGAGAUCCUAGCAUGAAAGCUACAUUAUGCUUUGUUCCAGUGCCUAACAUACUACUAUGCCGGAUGGCCAGCAAGCAAACAAGGCUGGAAUGUGAAGUUCCCAGCACUCGCUGAGACCAAAUUCACAUGGUACUACAGUAAACACCAUUAUGUUUGCAUUCAGGCGACCAGUUUAACAUUUGUUAUGUUUGCAUUCAGACGACCAGUUUUAACAUUUGUUAUUUUGAUUUUGUUCGGUCCAGCGAUGAAAGCGCUGCUCACAGGCGCUAUCUUUGUAAACAGAACCAGAACGAGUUACUUAGUUCUGAUUCUGUUUACCAUCAUCAAGUAAAUCUAGAAGAUAUUCAAGUAUAAAUAUAACCUGUUGGUUUUAGCUACAGUACGUGUUAAUGAAUGAAUUUACUUUUUUUAAACAGCCAUCAAAUUGAUGGUGACACGAGAUAGCAAGGUCAUUGCGGCGGCUGGAAUGUACGUGUGACAUCCUGGGCAGGGGCUUUAUUGCGGUGGUGUGGGCAAUGGCUGCAUGCAUGCCCCCGCGUGAAACGGCGGCAGCGCCACCGCGCUGGUAGCUGUCUCAUUUGCUGGAGGGCGGCAUCCUAGCAGGGCCUGGCGCCGGCGCCGCGUGCUUUCUGGCCGGCGAAGGCACUCCUACUUGAUCGGCGACCUCUCAUUUACUAUCUCGUUGCAGGGAAGAACACACACGACCAGCAACGAAUACGAGGGAGAUACGCAUACAUGCAAUACGAAGGAACAUGUGCUUAAUUUAAAAGUUGUGCUCGAGCU